AAUUUUGGACAAUGGGGGGAACCCUGAUCCAGCCAUCCCGCGUGUGCGACGAAGGCCUUCGGGUUGUAAAGCACUUUUGGCAGGAAAGAAAUCGCAUAGGAUAAUACCCUGUGUGGAUGACGGUACCUGCAGAAUAAGCACCGGCUAACUACGUGCCAGCAGCCGCGGUAAUACGUAGGGUGCAAGCGUUAAUCGGAAUUACUGGGCGUAAAGCGUGCGCAGGCGGUUCGGAAAGAAAGAUGUGAAAUCCCAGGGCUUAACCUUGGAACUGCAUUUUUAACUACCGGGCUAGAGUGUGUCAGAGGGAGGUGGAAUUCCGCGUGUAGCAGUGAAAUGCGUAGAUAUGCGGAGGAACACCGAUGGCGAAGGCAGCCCCCUGGGAUAAUACCGACGCUCAGACACGAAAGCGUGGGGAGCAAACAG
rnacentral:rRNA from 1 species